GACGAACGCUGGCGGCGUGCUUAACACAUGCCAGUCGAACGGAAAGGCCCUGCUUUCGUGGGGUGCUCGAGUGGCGAACGGGUGAGUAACACGUGAGUAACCUGCCCUUGACUUUGGGAUAACUUCAGGAAACUGGGGCUAAUACCGGAUAGGAGCCCCUGCUGCAUGGUGGGGGUUGGAAAGUUUAGGCGGUUGGGGAUGGACUCGCGGCUUAUCAGCUUGUUGGUGGGGUAGUGGCUUACCAAGGCUUGGGAGGGUAGCCGGCCUGUGAGGGUGACCGGCGACAUGGGGACUGAGGUACGGCACAGACGCGUACGGGAGGCAGCGGGGGGGAAUAUUGCACAGUGGGCGGGAGCCUGAUGCAGAAGCGCUGCGGGCGGAAUGACGGCCUUCGGGUUGAAAACAGCUUCCGCCUGUGACGAAGCGUGAGUGACGGUAAUGAGUAAAGAAGCACCGGCUAACUACGUG
rnacentral:rRNA from 1 species